rnacentral:rRNA from 1 species
UGGGCCCGACGUCGCAUGCUCCGGGCGCCAUGGCGGCCGCGGGAAUUCGAUUAGAGUUUGAUCAUGGCUCAGAUUGAACGCUGGGGGCGGGCCUAACACAUGCAAGUCGAGCGGUAGAGAGGUGCUUGCACCUCUUGAGAGCGGCGGACGGGUGAGUAAUGCCUAGGAAUCUGCCUGGUAGUGGGGGAUAACGUUCGGAAACGGACGCUAAUACCGCAUACGUCCUACGGGAGAAAGCAGGGGACCUUCGGGCCUUGCGCUAUCAGAUGAGCCUAGGUCGGAUUAGCUAGUUGGUGAGGUAAUGGCUCACCAAGGCGACGAUCCGUAACUGGUCUGAGAGGAUGAUCAGUCACACUGGAACUGAGACACGGUCCAGACUCCUACGGGAGGCAGCAGUGGGGAAUAUUGGACAAUGGGGGCAACCCUGAUCCAGCCAUGCCGCGUGUGUGAAGAAGGCCUUCGGGUUGUAAAGCACUUUAAGCGGGGAGGAAGGCUCUAUGGCUAAUAUCCAUGGGGAUUGACGUUACCCGCAGAAUAAGCACCGGCAAACUUCGUGCCAGCAGCCGCGGUAAAUCACUAGUGAAUUCGCGGCCGCCUGCAGGUCGACCAUAUGG